rnacentral:rRNA from 1 species
GUCCACGCCCUAAACGAUGUCAACUGGUUGUUGGGAGGGUUUCUUCUCAGUAACGAAGCUAACGCGUGAAGUUGACCGCCUGGGGAGUACGGCCGCAAGGUUUAAACUCAAAGGAAUUGACGGGGACCCGCACAAGCUGUGGAUGAUGUGGUUUAAUUCGAUGCAACGCGAAAAACCUUACCUACCCUUGACAUGUCUGGAAUCCUGAAGAGAUUUGGGAGUGCUCGAAAGAGAGCCAGAACACAGGUGCUGCAUGGCUGUCGU